rnacentral:tRNA from 1 species
GCGGGGCCUGGUUGGCAUGUGCCGAUGCCAAAGUGAAGACGAUACGGUCUUUUGUUGCGUCCCAACCCUGACGCCGCUUUGAGGGUUCGAUUCCCUCUCCCCGCACCA